rnacentral:rRNA from 1 species
UACAGAGGGUGCGAGCGUUGUUCGGAAUUACUGGGCGUAAAGCGUGUGUAGGCGGUCCACUAAGUCGGGUGUGAAAGCCCUGGGCUCAACCCAGGAAGUGCACUCGAAACUGGCGGGCUAGAGUAUCGGAGAGGUUGGUGGAAUUCUCGGUGUAGAGGUGAAAUUCGUAGAUAUCGAAAGGAACACCGGUGGCGAAGGCGGCCAACUGGACGAAUACUGACGCUGAGACACGAAAGCGUGGGGAGCAAACAGG